rnacentral:rRNA from 1 species
UACGGAGGGGGCUAGCGUUGUUCGGAAUUACUGGGCGUAAAGCGCACGUAGGCGGAUCAGUAAGUUAGAGGUGAAAGCCCAGGGCUCAACCCUGGGACUGCCUUUGAUACUGCUAGUCUAGAGAUCGAGAGAGGUGAGUGGAAUUCCGAGUGUAGAGGUGAAAUUCGUAGAUAUUCGGAGGAACACCAGUGGCGAAGGCGGCUCACUGGCUCGAUACUGACGCUGAGGUGCGAAAGCGUGGGGAGCAAACAGG